AUAUGGAGGGUGCAAGCGUUGUUGGGAAUUACUGGGCGUAAAGCGCGCGUAGGCGGUCUGUUAUGUCAGAUGUGAAAGUCCUCGGCUCAACCGGGGAAGUGCAUUUGAAACUGGCAGACUUGAGUACUGGAGGGGGUGGUGGAAUUCCCGGUGUAGAGGUGAAAUUCGUAGAUAUCGGGAGGAAUACCGGUGGCGAAGGCGACCACCUGGCCAGAUACUGACGCUGAGGUGCGAAAGCGUGGGGAGCAAACAGGAUUAGAAACCCCAGUAGUCC
rnacentral:rRNA from 1 species